CAGCCGCAGCUGCCACCCCACCUCCAUGACCGCAUUCCAAACUUCGAGCUAAGAUCGCUUGCAUUCUUAGCUGACAGCUAAAUAAAAGGACCCCGUUCCUCUCAGCUGACCUCCCAGGUAUCUGAUUCAGGUGCCAAGGCUCAUGAAUCUUGGAAUACAGUCAGUUACAGUCAUGGAUGAUUCUCCAAAGAAGAGGCCAAACACUGCCAAAA